AGGAAAAGAAACCAACUGGGAUUGCCUUAGUAACGGCGAGUGAAGCGGCAAAAGCUCAAAUUUGAAAUCUGGUACCUUUGGUGCCCGAGUUGUAAUUUGGAGAGUACCACUUUGGGACUGUACUUUGCCUAUGUUCCUUGGAACAGGACGUCAUGGAGGGUGAGAAUCCCGUGUGGCGAGGGUGUCAGUUCUUUGUAAAGGGUGCUCGAAGAGUCGAGUUGUUUGGGAAUGCAGCUCUAAGUGGGUGGUAAAUUCCAUCUAAAGCUAAAUACAGGCGAGAGACCGAUAGCGAACAAGUACAGUGAUGGAAAGAUGAAAAGAACUUUGAAAAGAGAGUGAAAAAGUACGUGAAAUUGUUGAAAGGGAAGGGCAUUUGAUCAGACAUGGUGUUUUGCGCCCCUUGCCUCUCGUGGGCUUGGGACUCUCGCAGCUCACUGGGCCAGCAUCGGUUUUGGCGGCCGGAAAAAACCUAGGGAAUGUGGCUCUGCGCCUCGGUGUAGAGUGUUAUAGCCCUGGGGAAUACGGCCAGCCGGGACCGGAGGACUGCGAUACUUGUAUCUA
rnacentral:rRNA from 1 species